rnacentral:rRNA from 1 species
GAUGAACGCUGGCGGCGUGCCUAAUACAUGCAAGUCGAGCGAACAGAUGAGGAGCUUGCUCCUCUGACGUUAGCGGCGGACGGGUGAGUAACACGUGGAUAACCUACCUAUAAGACUGGGAUAACUUCGGGAAACCGGAGCUAAUACCGGAUAAUAUAUUGAACCGCAUGGUUCAAUAGUGAAAGACGGUUUUGCUGUAACUUAUAGAUGGAUCCGCGCCGCAUUAGCUAGUUGGUAAGGUAACGGCUUACCAAGGCAACGAUGCGUAGCCGACCUGAGAGGGUGAUCGGCCACACUGGAACUGAGACACGGUACAGACUCCUACGGGAGGCAGCAGUAGGGAAGCUUCCGCAAUGGGCGAAAGCCUGACGGAGCAACGCCGCGUGAGUGAUGAAGGGCUUCGGAUCGUAAAACUCUGUUAUGAGGGAAGAACAAAUGUGUAAGUAACUAUGCACGUCUUGACGGUACCGAAACAGAAAGCCACGGCUAACUACGU